ACGCCCAACCGUAGCCCAAAAAACAUUUAUAAAUUCUAAAUAUACUCAACAAUUAAUUAACCUAAAACCUCUCAACAAACCAUUUUUCCCCCUAAGUAACAGGCGAUAGAAAAGGGACCUGGAGCAACAGACGAAGUACCGCAAGGGAAAGCUGAAAGAAAAAUGAAAGAAAUCCAAUAAGCCUAAGAUAGCAGAGCUUUACCCUCGUACCUUUUGCAUCAUGAUUUAGCAAGCAAAACCCAAGCAAAGAGACCUAUAGUUUGAGACCCCGAAACUAAGCGAGCUACUCCAAGACAGCCCAAUUGGGGCUAACCCGUCCCUGUGGCAAAAGGGUGGGAAGAGCUUUGAGUAGAGGUGACAAAUCUACCGAGCAUAGUUAUAGCUGGUUGCCUAAGAAAUGAAUAAAAGUUCAGCCCUCCGGCUUCCUAAUCCACCUAGUACCACUAAUAUUGGCUACAGGAAUACCAGAUGAGUUAAUUAAAGGAGGUACAGCUCCUUUAUUAUAGAAACACCUUUUACAGGUGGCUAAAGAUCAAAUUAAUUAAGGAGCCUUAUUUCAGUGGGCCUAUAAGCAGCCACCUAAACAGAAAGCGUCAAAGCUAAAAUAAAUAAAUCAUCCCUAUCUAACGUUAAUAAAUCUUACACCCCUAAUACUAUUAGGCCAUCUCAUGCCCCCAUGAGAGUGAUAAUGCUAAAAUGAGUAAUGAGAAAAUAAAACUUCUUCCUGACACAUGUGUACCACGGAGCGGAUAAACCACCGUCCACUAAUCGGCCCCAAGAAAAGAGGGAAGUAAAAACUAGCUAAAUUAAACCAGAAGACCUUUUACUUAACACCGUUAACCCUACACAGGAGUGUUAUCAAGGAAAGACCAAAAGAAAAAGAAGGAACUCGGCAAACCAAAGCCUCGCCUGUUUACCAAAAACAUCGCCUCUUGAACUAUGUAUAUAAGAGGUCCCGCCUGCCCUGUGACUUUAAGUUUAACGGCCGCGGUAUCUUGACCGUGCGAAGGUAGCGUAAUCACUUGUCUUUUAAAUGGAGACCUGUAUGAAUGGCACCACGAGGGCUUAGCUGUCUCCUUUUUCAAGUCAAUGAAAUUGAUCUCCCCGUGCAGAAGCGGGGAUAACUACAUAAGACGAGAAGACCCUGUGGAGCUUUAGACCUAGUGCAGCCCACAAAAAUGCUUUAAAACAAAAAACAAACCCAACGAGCCCUGCACAACUGUCUUUGGUUGGGGCGACCGCGGGGAAAAACAAAACCCCCACGAGGACUAGAAGUUUAUACUCCUAUAACCAAGAGCCACGGCUCUAAGUCUCAGAAAUUCUGACCUACAAUGAUCCGGGCAACCGAUCAACGAACCAAGUUACCCCAGGGAUAACAGCGCAAUCCUCUUACAGAGCCCAUAUCGACAAGGGGGUUUACGACCUCGAUGUUGGAUCAGGACAUCCUAAUGGUGCAGCCGCUAUUAAGGGUUCGUUUGUUCAACGAUUAAAGUCCUACGUGAUCUGAGUUCAGACCGGAGCAAUCCAGGUCAGUUUCUAUCUAUGAAAUGCUCUUUUCUAGUACGAAAGGACCGAAAAGAAAAGGCCCAUGCCCCAAGCAUGCCUUACCCCUAACUACUGAAAUCAAAUAAAGAAGACAAAGGGACAUAUUAUCUUAUAUUCUAGAAAAGAAUAU
rnacentral:rRNA from 1 species